GGGAGCAGCCCUAGCCCCAGCAGCACGGUGUUCACCAGGACCAGAGUAUUCUGCCAAAAAUGAGAUGCUGUCCUGUAUCAAAACCCGAUUCGAGCUUCUGCCGAGCCUGACCAGUCUUGGGUCUUGAGCCAGGAUGAGUUUUUGGGAGGAAAUUCCACAUUUGGGAGGGAAAGGAUGAAGUAGUUAUAAAAGGGUCAGCUUGCCAGAUGAAAAAAAAAGAGGCAGUUGUAUGAACAGAAUGGAGGAAAGCAUUUCCUGGGUCACUGAGUUUUGUCCGGAGCUACCUAAAGGAACUAAUUCCCACAUCACCCUUCACCGAGCGACCAAGCUCUUGCAGCAGGCGGAAGCAUGAGGAUCACCUCAACACCACGUCCCCCUCUGCAAAGGUGCAACACUCAAUGCAGCAUCGCUGAAAUGUGUCUUUAAGGAAUGUCCCACUCUGUGCCGCGGAAAUCAGUUCCUUAGAGAAGCAGGUUAACACACCAGGGCUAUCUGCACCUCCUGCCCACUCAUCUUCCUGCGCUGGCCACGCCAACCCGCUCCAGCCUUGCCGAGCGAUAAACCCUUGGCCUCUCGCUUUCGUCUGUCCGAUAAGGUGAGUAGCGAAUACAUCUUAUUUUUGUGCUGUUUGUUUUUCCUUCCCCCCUUUUCCUGCUCCCAUUUU